AGAACAGGAGCUGGAGCUGAAGACAUCUCAUUCCUGCAGAGCCCAGUGCACACUGGCGGAUCCAGAGAAGGUCUCAGGAGCACUGAUUGAUGUGGCCGAGCACCUGGGCAAUCUGAAGUACAGAGUGUGGGAGAAGAUGCUGGGGACUGUUCAAUACACUCCUGUGACUCUGGACCCAAACACAGCACAUCCCAAACUCUCACUGUCUGAGGAUCUGACCAGGGUGAGACUCAGUGGUGAGAGACAGCAGGUUCCUGAUAAUCCAAAGAGAUUUGAUGAGUGGUCGUUUGUGCUGGGCUCUGAGGGAUUCAGCUCAGGGAGACACUGCUGGGAUGUAGA